rnacentral:rRNA from 1 species
CCCUUAGAUGUUCUGGGCCGCACGCGCGCUACACUGGUCGAUGCAACGAGUUUCUUUCCUUGGCCGACAGGCCUGGGCAAUCUUUGAACAUCGAUCGUGAUCGGGAUAGAUUCUUGUAAUUUUUGAUCUUAAACGAGGAAUUCCUAGUAAACGCAAGUCAUCAGCUUGCAUUGAUUACGUCCCUGCCCUUUGUACACACCGCCCGUCGCUACUACCGAUUGAACGUUUUAGUGAGGUAUUUGGACUGGACCUUCGGAGGUUCGCGCCUCCGUUGCUGUUCGGGAAGACUCCCAAACUUGAGCGUUUAGAGGAAGUAAAAGUCGUAACA